GACGAACGCUGGCGGCGUGCUUAACACAUGCAAGUCGAACGGAAAGGCCCCCACCUUGGUGGGGGUGCUCGAGUGGCGAACGGGUGAGUAACACGUGGGUGAUCUGCCCUGUACUUCUGGAUAAGCUUGGGAAACUGGGUCUAAUACCGGAUAGGACCAUGGUUUAGUGUCUCCUGGUGGAAAAAUUAUUGUUUUGGUGCAGGAUGAGCUAGCGGCCUAUCAGCUUGUUGGUGGGGUAAUGGCCUACCAAGGCGUCGACGGGUAGCCGGCCUGAGAGGGUGGACGGCCACAGUGUGACUGAGAUACGGCACAGAAUCCGAAGGGAGCCAGCAGUGGUAAAGAACGCACAAGGGGCGCAAGCCGGAGGCAGCGACGCCGCGUGGGGGAGGACGUCCGUCGGUUAGGAAACUCCUUUCGUUAGGAACGAAGCCACACCUUUAUGGGGUGUGGUGACGGUACCUUUGUGAAUAAGCACCGGCUAACUACGUG
rnacentral:rRNA from 1 species